AACCUCCGCAAUGUGAGAAAUCGCGACGGGGGGAUCCCAAGUGCCAUUCUUAACGGGAUGGCUUUUCAUUAGUGUAAAAAGCUUUUGGAAUAAGAGCUGGGCAAGACCGGUGCCAGCCGCCGCGGUAACACCGGCAGCUCUAGUGGUAGCAAUUUUUAUUGGGCCUAAGCGUCCGUAGCCGGUUUAAUAAGUCUCUGGUGAAAUCCUGUAGCUUAACUGUGGGAAUUGCUGGAGAUACUAUUAGACUUGAGACCGGGAGAGGUUAGAGGUACUCCCAGGGUAGAGGUGAAAUUCUGUAAUCCUGGGAGGACCGCCUGUUGCGAAGGCGUCUAACUGGAACGGUUCUGACGGUGAGGGACGAAAGUUAGGGGCGCGAACCGGAUUAGAUACCCGGGUAGUCCUAACUGUAAACGAUGCGGACUUGGUGUUGGGGUGGCUUUGAGCUGCUCCAGUGCCGAAGGGAAGCUGUUAAGUCCGCCGCCUGGGAAGUACGGUCGCAAGACUGAAACGUUAAAAGGUA
rnacentral:rRNA from 1 species